UGCCGGUGAGGAGAGCAAGCAUCCUGUCUUACCCCCUGUUCAGUUCCAGAGCCAGUAAUGGUGAACCCACUGGGACUGACUGGGAGAGAGGAUGAGAAUUUGUUCCAUAGGGAACAGUCUGAGGCAC
rnacentral:snoRNA from 12 species